CCUACGGGAGGCAGCAGUAGGGAACCUUCCACAAUGGGCGAAAGCCUGAUGGAGCAACGCCGCGUGGGUGAAGAAGGUCUUCGGAUCGUAAAACCCUGUUGUUAGAGAAGAAAGUGCGUGAGAGUAACUGUUCACGUUUCGACGGUAUCUAACCAGAAAGCCACGGCUAACUACGUGCCAGCAGCCGCGGUAAUACGUAGGUGGCAAGCGUUAUCCGGAUUUAUUGGGCGUAAAGGGAACGCAGGCGGUCUUUUACGUCUGAUGUGAAAGCCUUCGGCUUAACCGGAGUAGUGCAUUGGAAACUGGGAGACGUGAGUGCAGAAGAGGAGAGUGGAACUCCAUGUGUAGCGGUGAAAUGCGUAGAUAUAUGGAAGAACACCAGUGGCGAAAGCGGCUCUCUGGUCUGUAACUGACGCUGAGGUUCGAAAGCGUGGGUAGCAAACAGGAUUAGAUACCCCUGUAGUC
rnacentral:rRNA from 1 species